rnacentral:rRNA from 1 species
UAGGGAAUCUUCGGCAAUGGGGGGAACCCUGACCGAGCAACGCCGCGUGAGUGAAGAAGGUUUUCGGAUCGUAAAGCUCUGUUGUUAAGGAAGAACGAGUGUGAGAAUGGAAAGUUCAUGCUGUGACGGUACUUAACCAGAAAGGGACGGCUAACUACGUGCUAGCAGCCGCGGUACUACGUAGGUCCCGAGCGUUGUCCGGAUUAAUUGGGCGUAAGGCGAGCGCAGGCGGUUAGAAAAGUCUGAAGUGAAAGGCAGUGGCUCAACCCGUGUAGGCUUUGGAAACUGUUUAACUUGAGUGCAGAAGGGGGAAGUGGAAUUCCAUGUGUAGCGGUGAAAUGCGUAGAUAUAUGGAGGAACACCGGUGGCGAAAGCAGCUCUCUGGUCUGUAACUGACGCUGAGGCUCGAAAGCGUGGGGAGCGAACAGG